ensembl:snRNA U2 U2 spliceosomal RNA
AUCGCUUCUCGGCCUUUUGGCUAAGAUCAAGUGUAGUAUCUGUUCUUAUCAGUUUAAUAUCUGAUAUGUCCUCUAUACGAGGACUACAUAUUAAGCCGAUUUUUAGCUCUGGGAGAUGAAAAAGGGGCUUGCUCCGUUCACUCCAAGCAUCGACCCGGUAUUGCAGCACCCUCCGGGGAACGGUGCACCCUUU